ensembl:lncRNA
GUGGUGUAGGUCACAGACUCAGCUUGGAUCCUGGGUUGCUGUAGCUGUGGUGUAGGCUGGCAGCUGCAGCUCCAAUUCAACCCCUAGCCUGAGAACCUCCAUAUGCCAUGCAUGCAGCCCUAAAAAUACAAAAAAAUACAAAAAAAAUUUAGCUAAUGUUGAUGGUUGCACAACUCUUUGAAAAUACUAAAAGCCACUGGAUUGCACAUCCAAAAGGAUAAAUUUUAUGGUAAAUAAAUUAUACCUUAAUAAAUAAUUAUUCCUUAAAAAAAGAGAGUAGCUUAUAAAAAUAAAAUAUAGUGGAAAGGGUCAUGAAAUAUUCUGCCACCUGGAUAAGUGAAACUACAGACGGCACUUUCUGAGAACAAUGAACAUUGCAAAAUUGUUUAAAAUGAAAGUGUAAGUUAAAGUCACACACUAUGGUGAAAUUUAAUGCCAUUAGUAUUAACACUUGUCAACACAUUAUACUGAUCACACAUUUUAGAUUAAAAGAGCCUCAUUGACUAUAACUUGAAUAUUUAUAAAAAGUCCCUUUGACUAGAAAACAGAUUUAAAUAUGCAUUUAAUUUUGUAAAUAAUUUCAGUUUUUCAAAUGAGGAUAUUAACACAUAUUGGAAAUUUAGAAAGUAUGGAAUGAAUAAUAUGAACUGAUUAUGUUGAAAAUAAAAGGACAUUAAAACAUAACUCAAAAGCAUUUGUUUUCUAGUUAUUCACUUUCUUUUUUUCAGUCAAAUGGAAAAUGAUAUCAGUAUAAGGAGCAUCAUUUUAUUCAUUGGGCAACAGAUAUUGUAUAUGAUUCUAUAUAAGUAUUAAUGAUAAGCUUGGAAAAUAUGGCCCUAAAAGAAUAUAAAAAUAUAUGAUUGAUUUUUCAUGGCAUAGUUUUACAUUUUCAAAAUUAUUCACCAAGAGUGUAUGUUAUUUUUUUGUAAUUAGAAAAAAUAUAUUUUCUAGAAAACCUUUUUCUGCUCUUGUAAAAAGACUAAUAAUCUAAAUUUCCAAAAAACAUAAAAAUAUAAUAUUUAAUCAAUACUAAUAUACUAUUGGUGUUUAUAUUUUAAAUUCAAAAUUAAAUUUUUAUUAACACUUUAAUAGUACUAUGUAAUUAUUAUAUUGAUAAAAUAGAAUUUUCUCAUUAUUUAUAAUUGCUUCACAACCCAAUAGCAAUAAUAUAAGCAGAGAUGAUAUAAUGUUAAUAAAAUUGGAAUUUACAGUGUUUACCAUCAGAACACUAAAUUAUAAUUCAUGCUUAAUAUUUUAAAAAUCAUUCAAUCAUUAAAGUUAUAAUCAUUAUAUCAUUUAAACUUACUCUGUUCUGCUAAUGCUUUAAUGUCAUUCUUUUUUCCAAAUCUUCAUGUUGCUUUUCUCUUGAUUCUCAGACUUAAUAAAAAAUCAACAUACCACUGAAUCCUGCUGUUCUAAAAUCCAAGGCCUCUUGCUGUCUGGGUGCUGCAGGAAGAAAUAUCAGCCAUUCUCAAGGUCCUCAGUUCAUUGAGAAGGUGGCCUGCUGUAGCCCAGCUGGUUAGAUGGUGGUCUCUGCCUGUGACAUGUGUGACCUGGGCACUGGCAAUGCUGUGAGGAUCAAAGGGAAGCUGCCUGCCUACCACCAUGUUUAUGCCUCAUGGCCAUCUGCAAUGGUGAGUGGAAAAUGAUCCCUGGAGAGGUAGGGGUUCCCAAAGGCCCCGUCGUGGCAGGCUGGUCCUCAGUGGGAGCUUGUGCUUCCUGCACCACAUGCCCUUGCUCUGUCCCAGAAGAGGCUGUCCGUGGACGUCAACCUUGCCUGUCACUGGGUUGGCCAAUCAGUGGCUGAGGAUGGAGAUGGCCACCUGGGAGUGGGGGAGGGUCACAGCUUGGCUGAGGUCUUUUCCAUUCCCAGGACAAGACUUGGGAUGGUGAGGGAGAGGUGAAGGUGAGAGAUAGGAAUCAGUGGGCCUAAAAAGAUAUUUUCAUUAUCAUAAUUUGGCCUUGUGCUGGCUGGGUUUGGAGUUUCAGCUGGAGGAGGGUGAAGCAUCCUAUGAUUUCAGAGUUAAAUGUGAGUUCAGUUUCCCUCUUAUGCUUCACAGAGACUCUGUUUUACCUACGUUCUGUUUCCCUCAAGUGUGCACCCUGAGAGGCUGGUUCUGAGAUAUGUUCAUUUGGGUUACAGUAGGUCAGCAGUGGGUGGGGAGCAUGGAAUGGGGGGGGGGGCAUGGAAUAGGGUGGCACAGGAAAAAAA